UCAAGUUAUUAAGGGUGCAGGGCGGAUGCCUUGGCACUAGGAGCCGAUGAAGGACGUGAUAAGCUGCGAUAAGCUUCGGGGAGUUGCACGUAAACUUUGAUCCGAAGAUUUCCGAAUGAGGAAACUCACUUAGAGUAAUGUCUAAGUAUCAUUAAGUGAAUACAUAGCUUAAUGAGGGGAACUCAGGGAACUGAAACAUCUAAGUACCUGAAGGAAGAGAAAGAAAUUCGAUUCCGUAAGUAGCGGCGAGCGAACGCGGAUUAGCCCAAACCAAUAAAGUUUUCUUUAUUGGGGUUGAGGACAUACCACAUAUAAGAGGUCAUUAUAGACGAAGAAGUUUGGAAAAACUCAUCAUAGAAGGUAAUAAUCCUGUAGUCAAAAUAAUAAUUCUUUAGGUAUGAUCCAGAGUACCACGGGACACGUGAAACCCUGUGGGAAGCAGGAGGGACCACCCUCCAAGGCUAAAUACUACCUAGUGACCGAUAGCGUAUAGUACCGUGAGGGAAAGGUGAAAAGAACCCCGGGAGGGGAGUGAAAUAGAACCUGAAACCCUGCACUUACAAGCUGUGGAAGCACAUUUCUUGUGUGACCGCGUACUUUUUGUAGAACGGGCCAACGAGUUACGUUAAGUAGCAAGGUUAAGCACUUAAGGUGCGGAGCCGUAGCGAAAGCGAGUUUUAACUGAGCGUUCAGUUACUUGACGUAGACCCGAAACCGGGCGACCUACCCAUGAGCAGGAUGAAGCGAAAGUAAAAUUUCGUGGAGGUCCGAACCCACGAGCGUUGAAAAGCUCGGGGAUGACUUGUGGGUAGCGGUGAAAUUCCAAUCGAGCCCGGAGAUAGCUGGUUCUCCCCGAAAUAGCUUUAGGGCUAGCCUCAAGGUGAGAGAUACGGAGGUAGAGCACUGAAUGUCCUAGGGGGUAUUGCACCUACCGAAGACUAUCAAACUCCGAAUGCCGUCAUCUUAUACUUGGGAGUCAGACUGUGGGUGAUAAGAUUCAUAGUCGAAAGGGCAACAGCCCAGAUCGUCAGCUAAGGUCCCUAAAUGUAAGUUAAGUGGUAAAGGAUGUGGGAUUGCACAGACAACCAGGAUGUUGGCUUAGAAGCAGCCACUCAUUCAAAGAGUGCGUAAUAGCUCACUGGUCGAGUGAUCCUGCGCCGAAGAUUUCCGGGGCUAAAACUUACUACCGAAGCUACGGCAUCAGUAAUGAUGGGUAGGGGAGCUUCCCAUACGGGUUGAAGCAUGACCGUAAGGACAUGUGGACAGUAUGGGAGUGAGAAUGUUGGCAUGAGUAGCGAGAUGUGGGUGAGAAUCCCACAGGCCGUAAACCCAAGGUUUCCAGGGGAAGGUUCGUCCGCCCUGGGUUAGUCGGGACCUAAGCUGAGGCCGAAAGGCGUAGGUGAUGGACAACAGGUUGAUAUUCCUGUACUACCGAUAACCGUUUGAGAGAAGGGAUGACACAGUAGGAUAAGCUAAGCACACUGUUGGUUAUGUGUGCCCAAGCAUUGAGGCAGUCAAAGUAGGCAAAUCCGCUUUGAUAAUGCUGGGAUGUGAUGGGGAGCGAAAUUUAGUAGCGAAGUAGCUGAUUUCACACUGUCAAGAAAAGUCUCUAUCGAGGUUAAAGGUACCCGUACCGCAAACCGACACAGGUGGGUGAGGAGAGUAUCCUAAGGCCAGCGAGAGAACUGUUGUUAAGGAACUCGGCAAAAUGACCCCGUAACUUAGGGAUAAGGGGUGCCACCAUCAGGUGGCCGCAGAGAAUAGGCCCAAGCGACUGUUUACCAAAAACAUAGGUUUCUGCUAAGUCGCAAGACGAUGUAUAGGAGCUGACGCCUGCCCGGUGCUGGAAGGUUAAGGGGAUCUGUUAGAGCAAUCGAAGCAGUGAACUUAAGCCCCAGUAAACGGCGGCCGUAACUAUAACGGUCCUAAGGUAGCGAAAUUCCUUGUCGGGUAAGUUCCGACCCGCACGAAAGGCGUAACGAUUUGGGCACUGUCUCAACAACAGACUCGGUGAAAUUGUAAUUCCGGUGAAGAUGCCGGAUACCUGCGACAGGACGGAAAGACCCCAUGGAGCUUUACUGUAGCUUGACAUUGGGUCUUGGUACUACAUGUACAGGAUAGGUGGGAGGCUUUGAAACCAGGACGCCAGUUUUGGCGGAGCCAUCCUUGGGAUACCACCCUUGUAGUACUGGGACUCUAACCAUAGGCCAUGAAUCUGGUCUUGGGACACUGUCAGGUGGGCAGUUUGACUGGGGCGGUCGCCUCCCAAAAGGUAACGGAGGCGCUCAAAGGUUCUCUCAGUACGGUCGGAAAUCGUACGUAGAGUGUAAAGGCAAAAGAGAGCUUGAUUGCAAGACAUACAGGUCGAGCAAGGAUGAAAAUCGGACUUAGUGAUCCGGUGGUUCUGCGUGGAAGGGCCAUCGCUCAACGGAUAAAAGCUACCCUGGGGAUAACAGGCUUAUCUCCCCCAAGAGUCCACAUCGACGGGGAGGUUUGGCACCUCGAUGUCGGCUCAUCACAUCCUGGGGCUGUAGUAGGUCCCAAGGGUUGGGCUGUUCGCCCAUUAAAGUGGUACGCGAGCUGGGUUCAGAACGUCGUGAGACAGUUCGGUCCCUAUCCGUCGCAGGCGUAGGAAAUUUGAGAAGACCUGUCCUUAGUACGAGAGGACCGGGAUGGACGUACCUCUGGUGUACCAGUUGU
rnacentral:rRNA from 1 species